rnacentral:rRNA from 1 species
AUUAAGAUACUCCUGGUAGUCCACCCCCGUAAACGAUGUCGACUUGGAGGUGUGUUUCCCUUGAGGGAGUGGGCUUCCGGGAGCUAAACGCCGUUAAAUCGGACCCCCCGGGGAGUACGGCGGCAAGGUUAAAACUCCAAAUGAAUUUGACGGGGGGCCGCACAAGCGGUGGAGCAUGUGGUUUAAUUUGAUGCAACGCGAAGGGCCUUACCUACUCUUGACAUCCAGAGAACUUUGCAGAGAUGGUUUGGUGCCUUCGGGAACUCUGAGACAGGUACUGCAUGGCUGUCGUCAGCUCGUGUUGUGAAAAGUUGGGUUUAGUCCCGCAACGAGCGCAACCCUUAUCCUUUGUUGCCAGCGAUUCGGUCGGGAACUCAAAGGAGACUGCCGGUGAUAAACCGGAGGAAGGUGGGGAUGACGUCAAGUCAUCAUGCCCCACGAGUAGGGCUACACACCUGCUACAAUGGCGCAUACAAAGAGAAGCGACCUCGCGAGAGCAAGCGGACCUCACAAAGUGCGUCGCAGUUCGGAUCGGAGUCUGCAACUCGACUCCGUGAAGUCGGAAUUUCUUGUAAUCGUGGAUCAAAAAUAACACGGUGAAUACGUUCCCGGGCCUUGUACCACCGCCCCUUACAGCAUGGAUGGU